rnacentral:rRNA from 1 species
UACAGAGGUCUCAAGCGUUGUUCGGAUUCAUUGGGCGUAAAGGGUGUGUAGGGGGCUCUGUAAGUCGGGUGUGAAAUUUCGGAGCUUAACUCCGAAACUGCAUUCGAUACUGCGGUGCUUGAGGACUGGAGAGGAGACUGGAAUUCAUGGUGUAGCAGUGAAAUGCGUAGAGAUCAUGAGGAAGACCAGUGGCGAAGGCGGGUCUCUGGACAGUUCCUGACACUGAGACACGAAGGCCAGGGGAGCAAACGGG